UGAUGGCGAGUGGCGAACGGGUGAGUAAUACAUCGGAACGUGCCCUGUAGUGGGGGAUAACUAGUCGAAAGAUUAGCUAAUACCGCAUACGACCUGAGGGUGAAAGUGGGGGACCGCAAGGCCUCAUGCUAUAGGAGCGGCCGAUGUCUGAUUAGCUAGUUGGUGAGGUAAAGGCUCACCAAGGCGACGAUCAGUAGCUGGUCUGAGAGGACGAUCAGCCACACUGGGACUGAGACACGGCCCAGACUCCUACGGGAGGCAGCAGUGGGGAAUUUUGGACAAUGGGCGAAAGCCUGAUCCAGCAAUGCCGCGUGUGUGAAGAAGGCCUUCGGGUUGUAAAGCACUUUUGUCCGGAAAGAAAUGGCUCUGGUUAAUACCUGGGGUCGAUGACGGUACCGGAAGAAUAAGGACCGGCUAACUACGUGCCAGCAGCCGCGGUAAUACGUAGGGUCCAAGCGUUAAUCGGAAUUACUGGGCGUAAAGCGUGCGCAGGCGGUUGUGCAAGACCGAUGUGAAAUCCCCGAGCUUAACUUGGGAAUUGCAUUGGUGACUGCACGGCUAGAGUGUGUCAGAGGGGGGUAGAAUUCCACGUGUAGCAGUGAAAUGCGUAGAGAUGUGGAGGAAUACCGAUGGCGAAGGCAGC
rnacentral:rRNA from 1 species